GUGCGCAGGCGGUUUUGCAAGACCGAUGUGAAAUCCCCGGGCUUAACCUGGGAACUGCAUUGGUGACUGCAAGGCUAGAGUGUGUCAGAGGGAGGUGGAAUUCCGCAUGUAGCAGUGAAAUGCGUAGAUAUGCGGAGGAACACCGAUGGCGAAGGCAGCCUCCUGGGAUAACACUGACGCUCAUGCACGAAAGCGUGGGUAGCAAACAGGAUUAGAUACCCUGGUAGUCCACGCCCUAAACGAUGUCGAUUAGCUGUUGGGCAGCUUGACUGCUUAGUAGCGAAGCUAACGCGUGAAAUCGACCGCCUGGGGAGUACGGUCGCAAGAUUAAAACUCAAAGGAAUUGACGGGGACCCGCACAAGCGGUGGAUGAUGUGGAUUAAUUCGAUGCAACGCGAAGAACCUUACCUGGUCUUGACAUGUACGGAACCCUCCAGAGACGGAGGGGUGCCUUCGGGAGCCGUAACACAGGUGCUGCAUGGCUGUCGUCAGCUCGUGUCGUGAGAAG
rnacentral:rRNA from 1 species